AUGUAUUGGUUCCAGGUCUUGAUCGCAGUGACCUGAUAGCAAGUGCAAAGACGGGAACUGGAGAAGGCUUUAGCAUUUGGUAUACACAUGAUCAAGCAAAUAAUUGAGAAGAACGAAGGGCGGAGUCUUGGGUGAGGUCGUUUCCCUCUAGAUUCGGUUCUUGCACCCAUUAGAGAGUUGGCUAAACUAGGUAUGUUUGCAUGUGUGACCCUUGAGGUUGUUUACUGUGCAUUAUUUUUGUUAAGCUAUGUAAGGUGGAAGUACUGGGUUAAUUCAUAGUCAUGGUAAAUGAAUACAAACUGCAAGAACUUUACUGCCUCUACCCAUAUCUCGUGAAACUCCGCAAGGUAGUUUUUGAUGGAUUUUAUUAUUGAUAUGCAUUUGCUCAUGAGAAGGUGGCCAUCAAAAUUAUGUAGGACUCUCUUAGUUUUUGUUUGCUUAAAUGGAAUUUGGUUUCUUCCCACUUGUAAAAAGAAUAAAACAGAGAUAAGAGACAAUCAGACUAAGCCUUGAGCAUGUUAUUUGCGCUGAAGAUUCAUGUUGCUAAUUUCUGAGAUAUGUACUGCUAUGCUUUACUUGUCCUUUUUUAUGUCCUAAUCAGUCCUUUGUUCUCUCCAUGCUUCACUAGGAUGGUUAUUAAGAUGACAACUAGCUGAAGGAAUCAAAUUCUAGGCUAUCGUACUCACGAUGACAUCAAAGCGCACCAUUCUUAGUAAUCUAAUAAUGACAGGAUAUUGUGGAGGAAUAGAUGGCUGUAAGCAUACGGACAGGCGUCUCGUCGGCGCCGCUGCUAGCCACAUCUGGCCCAUGUGUGAUUUAUUGUUGAAGUUGCUUGUAAUGUACUAGUACAAGUGUGUAAAAUCCCUAAGAGCUCUAAGCUCCCAGGGUUUUGGGGUGCUGUUGUUGCUUCUGCGGUAGCUCCAAUCGAGUGUUGACAUGGUAUAGUCGGUUCAUUCUUAGGCCCAGGUCGGUUGGGGCAUUGUUUGCCUUUUUUUGUGGAUUAUGUGUCGAGUUCAUGGGCUACUGGGCUAAGCUGUGGCAGAAGUGCUAACUUAUGUUCUCACCUCGUGCUCCUAUUCUGCCCAGGGCGCUGCCGCCGCUUCCGUACGGAUACUCUCUCCUCCAACUUCGGUUCUUCCUCUUGCGCCACCCAACAUCUGCUAAGAUGAGGAUGGUAGGAGCACUGGUGAAGAAGAGGCAGGGAUGGGGAAAUAGCCAUCGGGGGAAGGAGGUCGAGCAAGGGAGGUUACGGUGUUGCCCAGCUGGGAGAUUUUCUCAAACCACACCGGCGGCGGCUGAAGUUCCCUUGCGGUGAAGGCAGCGGCAAGGGAUCUUACGAAGCUCCAGGACAUAGGAGUUGACGCCUCGUUGCUGGUGAUGUGGACAGAGAGAAGAUCAGUUUGAUAAUAACAUGUAUAAAUGAAGAUGAGGUGCGGGAUAUGGCUGAAGGGGUUGCUCUAAAACUUGCUGCAAGCAUCCCUGUGUUGUCACGAAGGGAAACCGAUUAAUUUUGAGCAAUGAACAUUGAUAUUCUUUACAUUGAUGCAUUUGUAUAUUGUAAUAUUGAUUGUAAAGGGGGGUAAAUGAAAAUUGAUAGAUUCCUUGCAAA